UUCUUCCUUAAACAGGAAGUAAGGCCUGCUCACUGAAUUUUGAAGAGCCGCAGUAUUCUGACUGUGCUAAGGUAGCAUAAUAAUUUGUCUCUUAAUUGGGGACUGGAAUGAAUGGUCUAACGAGAAAUUAUCUUUUUUGAGGGCAAAACUCAAAUUUAAUUUUUUAGUGAAAAAGCUAAAAUCAUAUAGAAAGACGAGAAGACCCUAUAGAGUUUGAUAUAAAAUCUAUUUUCAAUUUAGUAAAUAACAAGAAACAAAAAUAGAGUAUAUUAUUUUGUUGGGGCGACAUUUAGAUAAGAAAAACUUUUUAUAAUAAUAACUUGUAUUCAAGAAUUUUUGAUCCUUUAAAAAGAUUAAAAGAAUAAAUUACCUUAGGGAUAACAGCGUUAUCUUCCUUGAGAGCCCAAAUCGACAGGAAGGUUUGCGACCUCGAUGUUGGACUAAAAUUAAGUUAAGGUGCAGAAGCCUUAGACUUAGGUCUGUUCGACCUUUAAUUUUUU
rnacentral:rRNA from 1 species